UUUUCGACGCUCUGUCGACAAUUCAACCACUAUUCGUUUGCCACUCACUCGAUUUGAGAGUCAUACUGAACGAUCGUCACAAAACAUUUUUACCGUGCACCGAACGUAACAUAUUCGCUUGUGUUUUACUCUCUGUUAAAUUAUAUGUAUAUUUUUGUUUCGAGUCAAUUUCGUUCGCUCGUUGCGAAACAACAACACAUACAAUUAAUUUUUUUUCCCUCUAUAAGAUACAUAUAUAUAUAUAUAUUUUUUUUUUUUGGUUUUAUUUUGGGCAAAGAAAUUGCCUCGAACUUUUUUGGGCGCAGAAACGAAAAAUUUGCUCGGUCGGUCUGUUGAAAGCUGAAGAGUGAAAUUAUCAACAAUUUUACAAUUUACGGACAGUUGAUUUGCUAAGUGUAACACGGAUGAAGGAAACAAACCGCAAAAUUGUUUGAACGAAACAAACAGAGAAGAAAAAAAAUGUUUACAACAUUUUUGGACAUGUUCCAAACGAAUUUUUCCACCAACGAAAUUGAGUAAGUACCCCGACACCUUCAUUUCUUAUUUGAAUUUAGUUUUACUGUUUCGCAUUCCAAUUGGAGAGCGACAGCCACAAUUUUGAGAUUGAGACAUUGAAUGUGUGCUGACAAGGCGUUGUUGCACACACUGAACGUGUGUUCAAAACGUUCGAUCAGUUGAAUUUUAUACGGAGACGUACCACUUCUGGCAUUUUGACUAUCUCUCUCUCUGUGUGUGAAAUGCAUAACGACAAUCAUAUAAUUGGAAUACAUACGAGAAUAUUCCGAUAUACGAGAUAUGGAGCCACUAGAUUGAACGAAAAAAAAAUUCCAUUGUUUCGAAGGCAUUUCAGAUCUCGUUCAUAUUCAUGCCGCAUAUUUAAAUUGUAAUUAUCUCGUUUAAUUGAAUUAAUUUCAUCUAGUUGAGAAUUGAUUCGGUGCUGCUGCGGCAACGACAACCCAAUCAGAACAGUGUAUGUGUGUGUGUGUGUGUGUGUGUAUGUGCGCGCGUGCAAACUCGUUUUCAAUCUGCUUAGAAUGAUGUUGGGCUGGCCAACAUAAAAAAGAAUUUAAAAAUGCAAACUCUGAAAUAGCCACCAACCAAAUUAAGAUUAGCGCGCACCAAGUUUUGCACUAAACAAACGGCAACCGCAAAUGAAGUGUGCACAACGCAAAAACUGGUCACUUUAGCGGGCGCACUGUGUUGGUUUUGGCCGCGUUUUGUUCGAUUCUGGCGUGUGAAUUUUUUUCUUCGCUCCUUUUUUGUUGUUGUUGUGUUGAUUGUUAUUCUUGGUUCAAACAAAUGGAAAGAAGCGAAGGAAAAAAAAGUCGGUUGUCGUUCGUAAUGCGACGAAUCGAUCGAUUCGACGUCAGUGGCGGCGCACAAGUGAGCGAAAGAGAAAGGAUUACAUGCAGUAGAGGCAGAGAAAAAAACAGAAGGCAAAAAAAAUUAUGACCAAUAAAAUUUUAUUUAAAUUGAAUCCAUCGAAAUGAGCACGAUCACAAAAAUACAAAUACGUAUGCACACAAAAUGCGCACUCAAAUUGUAAACGAAGAGAAAAAUAACCAGGCAACUGGUAAUUCAACCCGCUUCUGACAUUUUUUUUUUUCAUUUCCCUCAUCCAAACAAUGUUCCAGUUAAUUAUUCGUUUUCGUUUCUCUCUUUGUUCCGUCCACCGGAUUAAAUUAAAAAUCUUAACGGUGUUUUAUUUUAAAACUAUUAUUCACUUUUGACGAUUUAGCUGCAGCGCGAAAAGAGCAAGCGAGAGAGAGAGCGAUAGAGGCAGAACAGUUUUUAAUUGCAAAUGCAAAGCUGUAGAAAAAAAAGAACAUUGUAUUGAAACGAAAAGGCUUUUUGUUUUCUGUUAUUUAUCAAUUUCACACAUGAAAUCCGCUUUGUUCAGCGCAAAUCUCGGAUUGUUGUUUGAUUUGUCGUUGUUGAGAUUUUUGUUUUCUUGGAAUUUAAUUUUGUAUUUUGUCAAUGUCUUAAUGGGGCCAUUAUUAUCGAUAAUCGUAGUAUGAGAGACGCGUACGCGUGCGCGUGAGUCACACACACGGAGAAUCGCCCGCGCGCUCAAUAUUCAAACAAUUGACUCAAAAUCCGUUAUCAAUGUUAUGUUUCGUAAAAUGCAUAAACAUUUAGAACGGAAACUAAACAAAGGCGGAACGAUAUUUCUUAACCGAAAUUCAGACGAAAACAAAAACACAACAAAUAUCCGUUUAAUGUAAUAUUUGCACUCUUUUUCGAUCUUUUUCUUUCUUUCUCUUUCUCUCUUUCCCUCUCAGUCGCCCACUCUCUUUCUCGCUCAUAUUCGAACGAUGAAACAUCGUAGAGAUAAGAUGAAUGAGAUUUAUUAUGGAUUUGCGCGUUUUUUUCCUUCUUCUGUGGAGGGGAUUUUAGCGUUAAAAAUCCACUUGGAAAUCAAGCUCGAUUCAAGUGUGUGUCUUCAGCAUUCACAAAACGAUAAAGUGCAGAAUGAGAGUUGCAAAAAUUAAUAUUUUCACCGUAGCUCUGGUGAAGAAAAGAAUAAUCGCAAUUCAAUAGAUUUUUAAGCAUGCUAUUAUGUGCAGUAAGUGCGUUUCAGUUCACUUGAUUUCUAGUGAGAUGAAAUGUGAUGGCAUUUUUCUAAAGUGGGCAUUUUACAGAGCAGCAGCAACACACCGCUCAAUCCAAUGUUUUUUUUUUAUUGAAAUUAUCCCUUCGAUUCAACUAUGAAUGAAAAUAGAAAGUCGGUUUUUGUGUGUUAUGUGGCUGUGGAUUAGCUCAUUAUAUUUGAUCCCCCUCCGAUAUUUCGUUAAUAAAUUUCCCAUUGCCAUUUGGUGGUUUUGCUCAAUAAUGCCACGAGCGUCUCAAAACCAAAAAUACCAAUACUACAUUGCUGCCUGCUGUCACUGUUGGUCAAAGUUUUUCUCUCUCCUCUCUCUCUCUCUCUCUCUUCCGGAAAAAAAUAGUAACUGCCGCGCGCGCGUUAAUGAACCGAGAGAAAAAAGUUUGCACACUCAAACGAAAAGUUAUUAAUGUCUCAUUUUUAAUUAAGUCUGAAGGAAAUAACUCGUAAAUGGAUAUGGGGUGGGAAGAAAAGUGGUGGAUCAAAAUCGAAUUUGGUGUUGACUUAUGAUUUUUCGAUUUCCACUCUUCCGGCUAUGAAACAAUCAUUUUCAUUAGCAUCGGCCACACGUUUCAUUUUCUCACUAUUUUAACAUGGAAAUUGAAUUUGGCCGACCAUGGACGCCAAAUGUGUGGAAUGGGAUCGCGUGUGCAUGUACGUGUGUGUGUAUAUAUAUAGGAAUGAAUUGGGACAAGUCAAAGUUGUUGCAAAACAUUUUCGAAAACAGAGUGAAAUGAACACAGUUUCGCUUCUAAAAUCAUGUGGCGAACAAUAAAUGUCAAUCACACUGAGCUCAGCCCUAGCCACAAAGCAUUUCGUUGAAAAUUGUGUGUGGUUUCGGGCGUUCGUUCGCGACAAAAUUCGUGCAAAGUAUGGUGUGAGUGGCGAGCAUCUUUUGAAAAUUACGAUAAUUUCGUUUUUUUUUUUCUUCUUUGGGUGAUUUUCUUAACCGAAUCAUAUUGUUCCUGAACGGUCUUGAUGCAGUGACAUGAACGUACUUUGGACCAUCAUGCAUACAAAAUUGAUAGCAUAUAACCAUGGCAAAAACAGUCGUAAGACCAACACCGUUUUUCUUUAUCUUUUUCUUGGUCGGUUUUGUGUGUCGUGCUCGUUUGAUUUUUUUUUUUUCUUUUGCUCUGUGCAUGCUUACUUACGUGAAGGGAAUAGAAGAGCGCGCACGAGAGCGCGCUACGAUGACACAAAGACAAGACCUAAAUCAGUACAUGUGUAUAAUACGCUGUUGUCCUAUACAUAAAUAUCGUCACUCUGCAAACUGUGUAACUGGCAAACAGUUGUUUCCGAACGAAAUUCGAAAUGAAAAAUCAAAGUGUGGAGAGCGCGCGCGGUGUGGCUCUGUGAGUGUGCGUUUGGCAUACUUUGGAAACUACGUGUGUGUAGUGAUUGUAUAGGCAAAGAUAGUCAUCGGUGUGUGCUUACAAAUAUAUGUAUAUAUAUAGAAAUGUAUGUAUAUCAGGUCGUUCGCGAGUGUGUGUCCCACUCCCUGUUUUUUUUUUUUCAUGUACAUACAUAUUCUCUUCUCUUCACAAUGCUGCAGAAGAUAGCACGCGAAAUAUUAUUCCAAAUUCAAAUAUCCACUAUAACAUACAUUCGGAAUAAAGCACCGACAUGCUGCUGCUGCCUGUGUCAGUAUGUAGCCCGAGUUUGCUGUGCUAUUUUUGUUGGAAUUUCCUUCCAUUCGAUGCGGUACAAGAUUGAGCACGCUAAAAUGCUACACAUUUUGAAAGUUGAUCUGUUGUUCGAUGUUUUAUUCUUCCUUCUCCUACCGAUUCCCUCUCUCUCUCUCUCACUCGCUCUGCCAGAGAGAAUCCAUCACACCGAAACAAUUGCGGCUGAUUGUAAUUAAAAACAUGUGACAGAAAUUCCCUUGAGCUAGCACUAGCGCUUGUUUGCGCUCGUUAACAAUUUGAUGAAGAGAGUUUUCAAUACGUUCCAACACAGCGUACCCAUUUUGCAAACAGCCAAAAAAUUAUCACAAAGAAAGAGACGAAGACGAAGAACAAUUAAUCGAAAUGCAAGAAAUGAGAAGAAGCGCGAGCGAAAGAGAGAGAGACAGAGAGAAAAAGUAAAUAAAAAUUGUUAGUCCGAACGACCGACACUCAAGCAUAAAAUAAUAAGCGAACCAUAAAGUAAAUUAAAGCCGUAAAUUCGACUUCACGAAAUAUACUCGCGGUCGCGCGCGCGCGCUUUUUGCGCGCACACACACUCGAACAUUUCCAGUUAAAUAAAAUUAUAACACAGUAAAAAAUGGAUGAGAAAUAAAAUAAAAACGAAGAAGAAAUAGGAUCGAAUACGAAAAGACAUGUCAUGUAUUAAUAUUCCAUGAGUUUCUGUGCUAUUCUUCAUUAUAAUAUUAUUGAAUGUGAAGCAGUGAAGGAGAGUGAGUGAGCCAGCGAGAGCUUCGCUGUACGUCUCUCUCUCUCUCUCUCUCUCUCUCUCUCUCUCUCUCUCUCUCUCUCUCUCUCUCUCUCUCUCUGUGUGUGUGUGUGUGUAUGCGUUGGUGAGUGAGUGUGCGCGUGAACGACUGUAGCCUACUUUGUAUGUUAAAACUUAACAUCGGCAUAGUCACUGCUAUAUACAAUGUAUAACCAAUUCAAGUUUAUAUAACCGAUACGAUCACACUGUGGCCCGAAAAAGCACUACAUUUCGGUAAAUAAUGUAUAAAGUGUGCUACACAGUGUGAGUGUGUGCUAUUCUGCCACUCAGUUCCAACUAUCGCGCGCGCUUCACUCACACUCACACAAUGUGUGUAUACAUUCAGUUGGUUCGGUGUUGAGAGAAUAGCGCAAUGCGAGCAGUACACAUACAUGGCUACUGCAUGCGGGAGUGUAACAGAGACGGAACGAGCAUGCCACUUAUAGGGACAUACACGUAGCGAAAAAAAGAGGAGAGGAGCGGAGCAAUGAGCGCGAAGUGAAAUGUACGAAAAAUUUACAUACAAAACACAGGCGCAACGAAGCAAUACGAUCAUUGUGCCUGUGGUUGUAGCCAGCAUAACAGCUCUAGAGCGCGCUCCGGCCUCGUGUCGCUCUCUCACUCGUUCGCUUCGCUCUCUAUCUCGCUGUUCGCUCGUUCGGUUCGGUUGGUGGAGAGCGAAACGAAGAAGUAAAAGUAAAAACCUAUAUAAAAUUAUUUUUGUGAGCGCACUCGAGUUAAAUGUAUGUGCGUCAAAAAGUUUAAUUCGUUCAUUCGGUGUUUGUUCGUUGUCGCGCGUGGAUGCUUUUUUAACUUAACUCGCGUUUGUGUGAAAUAUAAUAUAUACAUACAUAUAUCGAAGAAACAGAAGAAAAAAAAUUUCCUACAAGUUUUACUCAACUAUUUAACUAACUUGCAGUAAAAAAAAAAGCAGAACAGUAAAAAAAAAUUUCCAUUUUGAGUCAAGACAAAAAAAGAAGAAGAAUUGUUUUAUAUUCCUUUUAUUUGCUGUUUUUUUUUCUGCUCCAUCGUGCGGUUGUCAUUUGCACGUUUACACAUUUUCACUUGGAAGUUUUUUUUUUCGCUCAGUAAAUUUCUUGGAAAUUUUGUUUUUUUUUUGUUCGGUUUUGUUUUAAAUUCAUUUCAACUGCAUACGGACGAGGAAAAAAAAUAAUUGUCAUUUUCGUAAACGGGAAAUUGCGGCUACUUAAAUUCGAUGAGAAAAAAACUUGUAAAUUUUUUUUUUCUCCAGUAUUGUUGUCGUCGUCGGAAAAUAAUCAUAAUUCAAAGGAAAUAAAAUGCACAUAUUUUCUGAAGAAUCUUUGAAAUUUCGUUUAAUCAUUUUUAACGAAACUGAUAAAAUUUAAAAAUAGUACGAAACGAAAGAAAGAAAA